UAGGGAAUAUUGCAAAAUGGGCGAAAGCCCGAUGCAGCAACGCCGCGUGGGCGAUGAAGGCCUUCGGGUCGUAAAGCCCUUUUUGAGGGGACGAGGAAGGACAGUACCCUCAGAAUAAGCCUCGGCUAACUACGUGCCAGCAGCCGCGGUAAAACGUAGGAGGCGAGCGUUAUCCGGAUUUACUGGGCGUAAAGCGCGUGCAGGCGGAUUGGAGAGUUGGAUGUGAAAGCUCCCGGCUUAACUGGGAGAGGUCGUUCAAUACUUCCAGUCUUGAGUGCAGUAGAGGGAAGUGGAAUUCCGGGUGUAGUGGUGAAAUGCGUAGAUAUCCGGAGGAACACCAGUGGCGAAAGCGGCUUCCUGGACUGUAACUGACGCUCAGACGCGAAAGCUAGGGUAGCAAACG
rnacentral:rRNA from 1 species